CCGUGAGUGGCCUGAUGUGUCCCCUGGGACAUCAGGACUUAAUGCUGUAUGUUGUCCACGCGUGAAUGGUGGAGCCAGAGGUGACAACAUUUACGUGGGAAGCCAAGUCUCUGCAGCAGCUUCCAGCACUGACCAGGGCAUCCACACUUGUGUACAACCCGGUAGAAGCAUCAACCGUAUUUUUGAGGAUAACCAUGAGGAACCCAUUUCCCCAGGGAUAGAAAUCAGCAAAGAGAUUGGGCAAAAAAAAGACUCACUUGAAGGGCUGCCCCAGUCUCCACGUCAAGGUCAAAAGUCAAGGAGGAUUUAGUUACAAUACCCAGAAAGGCACCUACCUCCCAGGAGAAGGCUUCUGUAAUCAUGUGAGAAAGUAAGAGCAGAAAGAAACAAAUUUGUUUAAAUUAGAUGCUGAUACAAGCCCCACAGAGGCUCUCGCGAUUUGCCAUUUAAAACAGAAAGACAAAAAAAAAAAAAAAAAUUAAAAAAACAAAAACAAAAACAGAAAGAAGGAAGAGGGCGGGCCGUGCUGACUUCCUUCAAGACUCAGCAAGCUGGACUGAGGCAGAAAUCGCCCAUAAGGACUUCUGGUCUCCGAUGUCAGGGAACACACGUGUGGGUCCUGACUCUCGGCCUUGUCUGACCCUCACUGCACGUGGAAAGCAGCCCGGCGUCUGCUGGUGCGCAGGUGCUGAGCAGGUCUCAGCCUCCGUGGACUCACUGGUAACACAGACAAGGCCUGUAAGAACCGGGCUUGUUCCAGCCCAAUCCUGGUGCCAACAGGAGCAUGGAGACUCCUCACGGGGCCACUCAGAACUCCCACUGGGUGAAGAAAACCUUCCCGAAUGUUCCACACGCCAGGAGAGGGGUCCUGCGGCUGCGUCUUCAUGUAUCAGGUUAGCUGGCAGCUCAUUUCCAGUCCUGGGGUAAUCUCUCGGCAAGUCUUUCUGAAGAAAGUUCCAGGCAGCGACCCUGCUCACUCCAUCCUGGGAAGUCUCUGGGGUCCCCUGGGGUCCCCUAGAGUCCCCAGUAUCACGCUUUUUCGCUGCUGGAGCAUUUGUUUUAAGAGAUUCUGCGUGCUGCCCAGAAGUGAGCUGGACCUUCAUUCGUGUGUAUGUUCAUUCAUUCCCACAUUUAACAGGUAUGUAUUGAGUGCCCAAAGCCCGCUGCGUCCUGGUCUAGGUGCUUUUCAUACCUCAGGGAGCAAAGAACAAGAACCCUGCCCCCUGCCACUUGGCAUCAUGGCCAUCCUAGUGGGUGGUGAGGAUGAUAAGAGAGGCAAGACAUUUCAGGCAAGAAGAAGAGCACAGGCUAGAGGCAAGAGUCAGAAGACAGCCUGGCAGGUCCCAGGAAAGAACUGCAAACUCUUCAAAAGUGCUGGAAGGUAA
rnacentral:lncRNA from 1 species